CCUACGAGCUGCAGCAGUGAGGAAUAUUGGUCAAUGGACGGAAGUCUGAACCAGCCAUGCCGCGUGCAGGAAGACGGCUCUAUGAGUUGUAAACUGCUUUUGUACAAGGGUAAACCUGAAUACGUGUAUUCAGCUGGAAGUACUGUACGAAUAAGGAUCGGCUAAAUCCGUUCCAGCAGCCGCGGUAAUACGGAGAAUCCCAGCGUUAUCCGGUUUUAUUGGGUUUAAAGGGUGCGGAGGCGGAUUGAUAAGUUAGAGGUGAAAUGUCCGAGCUUAACUCGGGAACUGCCUCUAAUACGGUUGAUCUAGAGAGUAGAUGCGGUAGGCGGAAUGUAUGGUGUAGCGGUGAAAUGCUUAGAGAUCAUACAGAACACCGAUUGCGAAGGCAGCUUACCAAUCUAUAUCUGACGUUGAGGCACGAAAGCGUGGGGAGCAAACAGGAUUAGAUACCCCGGUAGUC
rnacentral:rRNA from 1 species